CCAACUGAAAGUGAGUGACUCUGCUGGAAUGCAUCAUGUCUGUGUAACAAAAUCCUAUGUGACAAUGGGCCAAUGAUGGACCUCCAGUUGAGCUACCCACAAUGGACUGAACCUCAUGGCUUUCUUCCAACAGAGGCAAUGCAGACCACCUAGCUCACCAAUGGAAAGUCCCAUAUGGAAGGUCAGAACCCCAAACACACCUGGCACUACUCACUCCAUGGAAUGGAUCAGGAGAAGAAAGCAAAGCUGGCUGCCAUGUCAGAAGUUAGAAACCCCUGAGAAGCUACACUGGAGAAGCCACAUGUAAGAACUCUGGUCAACAGUCACAACUGGGUCCAGAUUUCCAGGCUUCCUCACCAAGGCACUAGGCACAUGAAUGAAGUCACUUUGAACACUUAGGCAAGCUGAUCCUCCAGCUGAAACCAGAGAGUUUAUAUCAAU